AGACGACGCCGGCGGCGCGUCUUAAGCAGUGCAAGUCGGCGGGAUCCAGUGCUGCACUGGAUGAGAGCGGCGGACUGGCGAGGAACGCGUGGGCGACGUGCCCCCGCACCGGGACAGCCGGCAGAAAUGGCCGGGUGAUACGGGAUGCGGUCGCAACCUGUGGUGGGUGCGAGGAAAGCUGCCACGGCAGCGGCGGGGGAGCGGCCCGCGUCCCAUCAGCUAGUAGGCGGGGCAAAGGCCCACCUAGGCGACGACGGGUACCCGGACUGAGAGGUCGGACGGGCGCCAUUGGGACUGAGAUACGGCCCAGACUCCUACGGGAGGCAGCAGCUAAGAAUAUUCCGCAAUGGGCGAAAGCCUGACGGAGCGACGCCGCGUGGACGAUGGAGGCCGGAAGGUUGUAAAGUCCUCUGGCGGGGGAAGAAAAACUGUCGCAGGGGAAUGGCGGUCAGCGUGACCGUACCCCGAGAACAAGCACCGGCUAAUUACGUGCCAGCCGCCGC
rnacentral:rRNA from 1 species